AUUGAACGCUGGCGGCAUGCCUUACACAUGCAAGUCGAACGGCAGCACGGGAGCAAUCCUGGUGGCGAGUGGCGAACGGGUGAGUAAUACAUCGGAACGUGCCCAGUAGUGGGGGAUAGCCCGGCGAAAGCCGGAUUAAUACCGCAUGAGACCUGAGGGUGAAAGCGGGGGAUCGCAAGACCUCGCGCUAUUGGAGCGGCCGAUGUCAGAUUAGCUAGUUGGUAGGGUAAAGGCCUACCAAGGCAACGAUCUGUAGUUGGUCUGAGAGGACGACCAGCCACACUGGGACUGAGACACGGCCCAGACUCCUACGGGAGGCAGCAGUGGGGAAUUUUGGACAAUGGGCGCAAGCCUGAUCCAGCAAUGCCGCGUGCAGGAAGAAGGCCUUCGGGUUGUAAACUGCUUUUGUCAGGGAAGAAAUCUUCUGGGCUAAUACCCUGGGAGGAUGACGGUACCCGAAGAAUAAGCACCGGCUAACUACGUGCCAGCCGCCGCCGUAA
rnacentral:rRNA from 1 species